GGCGGGACGGAGCAGUCCGCCCCGAAGUGGCGGUUUACUUGAGGCGGUUACCUUAGUACACCGAGUAGACUGAGUCUGUGGCGAAUUGCGGGCCGAUUCCCGGCCAGUGCCAUCUCAGCCGGAGUGGACCUCGGGGCCUCAGAAGCAGACUUUUAUCUGGCCCGAGGCUCCCAGCCGUUCAGCGCGUCUUCCCAUAACCGGAUACCGAUUAUUGGGACUCUCAGCUGCAGACACAGGUCCCCGCCCCUCCCUCUUUCUCCGGUCUGCUGCUGUCAUUCCUCCCUUCCCGCCUCGCUGCGCCCACAGCGGGGCACAGUCAUCGUUCUGUCAUUCCCAUCCUUUCUCUUCCCUCUCAUCGCCAUUUCUUCUAGAAGGCAACUUAAAAACCUUUCCUUGCCUCUUUAUGCUCAUUUCUCUUCCCUUCUUUUCUUCCUUUUUCUCUAGAAUACUUGUGUUUCCACUCCGUGCCAGGCUUCUGCCUCCAGGGCUUCUCUCCUUUUCAUGGGCCUGUGGCUCAUGUGUUAGGAGGUUGAACUUUUAAUGCAGUCGUUUGAAGAUUUUAAGCUUUUUCUUUCUCCUAACCAGGAGUCACAGAUGCUGGGAAGUAUGGCCCCAAAGAAACCUCGAAAUACCACAAGGUUACCCCUGGCUUUAAACCCCCUGAAGAGCAAGGACGUGUUGGCAGUGCUGGCUGAGAGGAACCAGGCUAUAGUACCAGUUGGGGCAUGGGUGGAACCUGCCUCACCAGGUAGUUCGGAAAUCCCAGCAUAUACAUCAGCAUAUUUGAUUGAAAAAGAACUAAAGGAACAGCUAAGAAGAAAACAAGAAGCUUUGAAACAUUUUCAGAAGCAAGUUAAAUAUCGAGUAAAUCAACAAAUUAGGUUGAGAAAAAAGCAACAGCUUCAGAAGUCUUAUGAAAGAGCAGAAAAAGAAGGCUCUAUAGCCAUGCAGUCUUCAGCAGCACGCUUAACUUCCAAAAGGACAAGUGUUUUUCCAAACAAUUUGAAUGCUGCUAUUGGAAGUUCUAGGUUACCUCCUUCCCUGAUGCCUGGGGAUGGAAUAGAGGAUGAAGAGAAUCAGAACGAAUUAUUCCAACAACAAGCCCAGGCUCUUAGUCAAACUAUGAAACAGGCACGUCACCGGCUAGCAUCCUUUAAAACUGUGAGUGAAAAAAAGAGAUCAGUGUUUCCAGAUGAUGGAAGGAAAAGCUUUCCCACCCGAGAGAAAGUGCUUUCUAGGAAACCAGCAUCCACUGGGAUAAAUACAGGAAUAAAAGGAGAGUUGCCCAUUAAGGUUCAUCAAGGUCUUUUAGCUGCUGUACCUUACCAGAAUUAUAUGGAAAAUCAGGAACUUGACUAUGAGGAACCUGACUAUGAGAAAUCUUCAUCUCUUGUAACUGAUGAGAAAGCGAAAGAAGAUUUAUUUGGGAGAGACCAGCAGGAGCAGCAGGAUAUCCUUUCUGAAGAUAAGAACGAACCUUUCAGCAGAGUUCAGAAAGUAAAAUUCAAAGAUCCAUUAUUUGUUCUGAUGGAAGAAGAACAACAAAAGCAGAUACAUUUUGAGGGCCUUCAGGAUAUUCUGCCAGAAGCUCAGGAUUAUCUUCCAGAAGCCCAAGGUGAUUUGGUGGAAACCCAGGGUGAUUUGACAGGAAUCCAGAGUGUUGAGCCAGAUACCCAGGCUGUUGAGCUGAAGGUUCAGAUUACUGAGCCAGAAGGCCAGGCCACUGAGCCAGAAGGCCAGCCUAUUAAGACAGAAACUCAGGGUAUUAUGCUGAAAGCCCAGAGUAUUGAGCUAGAAGAAAGGAGUAUUGUGUUGGAAACUCAGGAUUUUCUACCCCCAAAUCAGGCUUUUCUAACUAAAAACCAGGAUGUUUUACUCAAAGACCACUGUGUUCUCCCUAAAGACCAGAAUAUUCUACUCAAAUAUCAGGACCAGGAUUUCCUACCCAGAGACCAACAUGUUCUCCCCAAAGACCAAGAUAUUCUACCUAAAUAUCAAGACCAGGAUUUUCUACCUAAAGACCAGGAUUUUUUAUGCAGAGACCAGCAUGUUCUCCCUAAAGACUGGAAUAUUCUACCCAAACGUCAGGACCAGGAUUUUCUACCCAGAGACCGAGGUUAUCUUCCCAAAGACCAAAAUAUUCUACUCAUAUGUCAGGACCGGGAUUUUCUCCCCAGAGACCUGCAUGUUCUCUCCAACGACCAGAAUAUUCUAUCCAAAUGUCAGGACCAAGAUUUUCUACCAAAAUAUCAGAAAGUACACUUUAAGGAGCCAUACUCUGAUAUGACAGAUGAGAAAGGGAGAGAAGACUUGUCUCUGGCAGAUUAUCAGUGUUUGCCUCCCAAAUCCCAGGACCAGGAUGACAUCAGAAACCAGCAACCUCCAUCUUUUAUGAGAGAAGAGAGAGUGAGAGAAGAAUUGCCUCUGGACUGUCAUCAAUAUGUUAUACCUAAAAUCCAGGACCAAGACUCUCCUAGAGGACAGAACAAGCAUUUCAAACCACCCUCAUCUUUUGAGAAAUGGGAGAUUGCAAGAGGAAAUAUUCCUGGAGUGCCAUCGGCUUAUGAUGGAUAUCGAUCAGGAUUGAGCACUGAAUUCCAAGCUCCACUCGCAUUUCAGUCUGGCGUAGAUAAAGAAGAAGAAAAGAAAGAGCGUCAAAAGCAGUACCUGAGACAUAGACGACUUUUCAUGGAUAUUGAGAGAGAACAAGUAAAAGAACAACAAAGGCAAAAAGAACAAAAGAAGAAAAUUGAAAAGUCUUUCUCUACAGGUGAUAAGACUCUUACUCAGGGCAAUCUUAGAAGAUUUGAGGCUCAGUAUCUGCUUCUGAAGUCAGGAGUUAGAAUCCCCUUGCUGGCAGCUGAUUAGAUUGUGCCCACUGAGGUUAAGAAUUAAGAAAAAGAGAGAGCAAGAACGUUAUGCUGAAGAGCAGAGGAUCCUAAGAAUGAACUUUCAUGAAGAUCCAUAUUCAGGAGAGAAAAUGAGUGAGAUAUUAGCCCAGUUACAACUUGAAGAAAUAAAAGGAGCCAGAGAAAAACAACAACAGAGAGAAAAAGAAUACCUGAGAUAUGUAGAAGCUUUACGAGCCCAAAUCCAGGAGAAAAUGCAGCUGUAUAAUAUUACUUUACCUCCACUAUGUUGUUGUGGUCCUGAUUUUUGGGAUGCUCAUCCUGAUACCUGUGCCAACAACUGUAUUUUCUAUAAAAACCACAGGGCAUAUACUCGGGCACUACAUUCAUUCAUCAAUUCCUGUGAUGUCCCUGGGGGUAAUUCAGCUCUUCGAGUCGCAAUUCAUAAUUUUGCUUCUGCACACAGGCGGACUUUGAAAAAUCUAUAAUAAGAAUCUGAAAUUAACUGGUAGUAUUUUGGCUUUUACUUAAAAUCAGCCCUGAGAGAUUAUUUAAGAAAAGCUGUUCAAGUUAUAAAAUAUAUACUCUGGAAAGAAAUACUGUCUCAUGUAAUAACUGUCUUUAUAAUUAGAUUGUAAUCAUUGUUUUAAUCUGCCUUGGAACCAAGAUUGAAAGCUGACUUACUCGUCUCUUCUUUCUUGUGAACCAUAUGGAGCCUAUUAUUUUAAAAUAUGAUCAGACAAGUAAGGCUUCUCUUACUUUGCUCUGCUCUGAUCAGAGAGCUCAUGUGAAAUCUUUGAGAUUCUCUCAUUUAUCAUCUUUCUAAAACUGUGUUUUUGAGCUUGACAAUACUGAAAAUGUCUGGAUGAAGCAGAAAAGAAAGUGAUGAAAUGUGUUUCUGAACAUCAGUGGCCAUCCAUAUUGCCAUUACCUUUUCUAGAUAUAUAUAAGAAUUCAAGAUUAUAAGAAUUUAAAUUUGUUGCACAUUUUUUUCUCAAAAUUUUUUCUCUUGUUUUUAAAGAUAUAUUGCCUCUUUCCCCAUUCAGUGACACUAGACAUAGGAAUUUUUAAUUGUGUAAUUUUCUGUUGCAGAAAAGGUAAAUAAAUCCUUUGUCUUUUGAA